CCUACGGGAGGCAGCAGUAAGGAAUAUUGGACAAUGGACGCAAGCCUGAUCCAGCCAUGCCGCGUGAAGGAUUAAGGUCCUCUGGAUUGUAAACUUCUUUUAUAUGGGACGAAAAAAGGGCAUUCUUGCUCACUUGACGGUACCAUAUGAAUAAGCACCGGCUAACUCCGUGCCAGCAGCCGCGGUAAUACGGAGGGUGCAAGCGUUAUCCGGAUUCACUGGGUUUAAAGGGUGCGUAGGCGGGUAAGGUAAGUCAGUGGUGAAAUCUCGAAGCUUAACUUCGAAACUGCCAUUGAUACUAUUUAUCUUGAAUAUUGUGGAGGUUUGCGGAAUAUGUCAUGUAGCGGUGAAAUGCUUAGAUAUGACAUAGAACACCUAUUGCGAAGGCAGCAGGCUACACAUAUAUUGACGCUGAGGCACGAAAGCGUGGGGAUCAAACAGGAUUAGAUACCCUGGUAGUCCACGCCCUAAACGAUGAUUACUCGACAUACGCGAUACACUGUGUGUGUCUGAGCGAAAGCAUUAAGUAAUCCACCUGGGAAGUACGUCCGCAAGGAUGAAACUCAAAGGAAUUGACGG
rnacentral:rRNA from 1 species